UACGUAGGGGUGCGAGCGUUGUCCGGAUUUUAUUGGGGCGUAAAGAGCUCGUAGGCGGUUUGUCGCGUCGGCCGUGAAAUCUCCACGCUUAACGUGGAGCGUGCGGUCGAUACGGGGCAGACUUGAGUUCGGGUAGGGGGGAGACUGGAAUUUCCUGGUGUAGCGGUGAAAUGCGCAGAUAUCAGGAGGAACACCGGUGGCGGAAGGCGGGGUCUCUGGGCCGAUACUGACGCUGGAGGAGCGAAAGCGUGGGGGAGCGAACAGG
rnacentral:rRNA from 1 species